ensembl:lncRNA
AUCAAGAUCACUUAUUUUGUCAUUAAACCGCACAUAAGGGCACGGCGCAGUCAAGGAGAAAAAGUAGGACAACCGUCUGGUAAGGUAGUACAGUAGCCCCCUGAAUGCUGCGGGUGAGCAUGCGUAGAAAGAUUGCAACCCAACAUGAAUCACAUCGCCGUCCAACAUUUGGAGCGAACAACAACGCACCGUUAUCAUCAGGUUUUGACUCGGCAUUCCACUGGCAUCUGUUGGAAAAUUUGCCUAUCACUUGUCCGCAGGCCCCAACCGAAGAAAAUGGACGGAGACCGGAAGGGAGUACCUGGACAAUAAGAAACACUCCUUUUCAUUUUCCGUUGCAAAGCUUCCUGCCCUAAUGAACAUGACCCAGCUAAGUCAGAAGGUAGAGAGUAGGGGCUGAGGUGAGGUCUGGAGUCGGCAGUACAACUAGACCAGACUUCGGCACGGUUGUGU